GGCUUCGUGGCCUAGUGGUUAGGGCAUCCCGCUUGUAACGGGGGGAUCACGCGUUCGAUCCGCGUCGGAGCCU
rnacentral:tRNA from 5 species